GGCCAGGUAGCUCAGUUGGCAGAGCAGCAGACUGAAAAUUUGCGUGUCGGGUGUUCGAUUCACCCCCUGGCCA
rnacentral:tRNA from 1 species